AUACUUAGCUGGCAGGGGAGAUACCAUGAUCAAUACGGUGGCGCUCCCAGGAUGAGGCUAUCCCAUUGCACUUCGGGUGUGCUGACGCCUGUGAUGUCCCCAAAUGCGGGAUACUCGACUGCAAAAUUUGUGGUAGUGGGGGACUGCGUUUGUGCUCAAAAUUUGUG